ensembl:miRNA
GUGUAUACUGGGGGGUGGCUGCUAUGUCACUCAAAGCUGACUCAGAGCCACCUCCUCACAG